rnacentral:lncRNA from 1 species
UACCCUUGAAUAUUAUUAUCCCUUGCUAGCCCCUUUGAGCCUUAUUGAAAGAAAAAUGUUUUGAUCUUACUUCUUUUUGAAAACCACAUAAUUUUUACAAAACAAAGAAAAAAAGAUGAUUUUCUUGAAGUUGAUCACCUAACUUGUGAUUUGAGCACAAUGCUCAUCAUUAAGUUUGGGGUUGCUCUUGGGAUUUGCAACCUAUUAAGUUUGGGGUGGGGUACUAGAGAACUAAAAGAAAAAUAUUUUGAAAAAAGUUUGUGAAAAAAAUAAUAUGAAGAAAAUAUUCCUCAUGAAAAGAAAGGAAAUGGUGAAAGAAAUGAAAAAUAAAUAAAUAAAGAGAAUGCAAAAUGCAUAACACCAUGUUUGAAAAAAAAAAAUUUGUCGAGGGACUUCUUUGUAAAAAAAAAAAAAUGUGAGCAUGGAAUGAGUUCACACAUUGUGAAUUCAUUUGCAUGAAGAAAAAAUUUGUGAAAACUAAGUUCUCUAGUAUGAAUGUAAUGAUUUUUGGGAGAUCAAUUGAUUUGUCCACUUUUGUUUGAAAUAGGUG